GUGAAUCAUCGAAUCUUUGAACGCACAUUGCGCCCGCCAGUAUUCUGGCGGGCAUGCCUGUCCGAGCGUCAUUAGAACCCUCGGGACCCCUUCUGGCAAUCGCCCGGAGGGGCCCCGGCGUUGGGGAUCGGCUGCCCCCGCGGCUGCCGGCCCCGAAAUCUAGUGACGGUCCCACCGCAUACUCCUUUGCGCAGUAAAACACCUCGCACUGGACGGCUGGAGUGACCACGUCGUUAACCACCAACUUUAUCAAGGUUGACCUCGGAUCAGGUAGGAAUACCCGCUGAACUUAAGCAUAUCAAUAAGCGGAGGA
rnacentral:misc_RNA from 1 species